GACGAACGCUGGCGGCGUGCCUAAUACAUGCAAGUCGAGCGGAUCUUCAUUAGCUUGCUUUUGAAGAUCAGCGGCGGACGGGUGAGUAACACGUGGGCAACCUGCCUGUAAGACUGGGAUAACUUCGGGAAACCGGAGCUAAUACCGGAUAAUCCUUUUCCUCUCAUGAGGAAAAGCUGAAAGACGGUUUCGGCUGUCACUUACAGAUGGGCACGCGGCGCAUUAGCUAGUUGGUGAGGUAACGGCUCACCAAGGCGACGAUGCGUAGCCGACCUGAGAGGGUGAUCGGCCACACUGGGACUGAGACACGGCCCAGACUCCUACGGGAGGCAGCAGUAGGGAAUCUUCCGCAAUGGACGAAAGUCUGACGGAGCAACGCCGCGUGAGCGAUGAAGGCCUUCGGGUCGUAAAGCUCUGUUGUCAGGGAAGAACAAGUACCGGAGUAACUGCCGGUACCUUGACGGUACCUGACCAGAAAGCCACGGCUAACUACGUGCCAGCCGCCGCAGUAA
rnacentral:rRNA from 1 species